CCAGAAGUUCUCAGAGGGUGAGGGUCCCACAUCUCCUGCAGGACAGGCCCUAGCUACUGAGUCACAGAAACCCAGGGCCGAAGCAAAGUCCCAAUCCCAGAGAGGCUGGGGCACACCUACAACUGAAAGGAGGCUUAGAAAUCCUUCAGAGACCACCCUAUCGGUUCUCCUCCACCUGGACAGGAUGAGCCAGCAACACAGAAGGAAGAGGCCUUCCUCCGAAAGAAAAAGCACAAGAAAGAUGGACACAUGGCAGAG
rnacentral:lncRNA from 1 species